rnacentral:rRNA from 1 species
GUUACAGUCGGGGGCAUUCAUAUUUCAUAGUCAGAGGUGAAAUUUUUAGAUUUAUGAAAGACGAACAACUGCGAAAGCAUUUGCCAAGGGUGUUUUCAUU